GCGGCUUUAAGCGCUCCAGAGUUUCCCAAAGGCUCGGGAAACACGCGGGGAAUGCGCGGAGGGGGGGCCGGGCGCGGUGACCCCCCCCUGCCACCGGCCGGUGGGACAAGGGGUGGCAUUCCGGGCAUGGCCCUGCCGCCCUGUCCCCGCUGCGCCGACACGGAACGGCUCCGCUUAACCCCGCUGGAAACCGGGAAUGGUCACCGAGCAAACACUUGGAUUUCCGAGCCAGAAGGGCAAAGGGUGGAGAGGCGGCUCCUGCCACCAAAACCCGGGGAAAUCCCCCAAAUUCAGCCCGUGCUGUGGGAAGGAGGGAGAACACAACACCCCCCUGGCAGCGAGCACACGCGGCAAUAGUGCAAGGGAGCCGUGUGACACAAGGACAGCUCCCCAAAAACACCCCUGGAGGCUCUGUGGAGCCAACACACCCCGUGCUGCUGCCCCCCAGCCUGGACAAAGGCAAUAAUAAAUAAACACUCGGUGCCUCACCAAAGGCACCUUUUUUU